GAAUAUUGCACAAUGGGCGAAAGCCUGAUGCAGCCAUGCCGCGUGUAUGAAGAAGGCCUUCGGGUUGUAAAGUACUUUCAGUUGUGAGGAAGGGGGUAACGUUAAUAGCGUUAUCUCUUGACGUUAGCAACAGAAGAAGCACCGGCUAACUCCGUGCCAGCAGCCGCGGUAAUACGGAGGGUGCGAGCGUUAAUCGGAAUUACUGGGCG
rnacentral:rRNA from 1 species